ACGGACAAAACAAAGAUUCUUUGAGUGAAGUAAUCCAGCGUUGAGCGUAAAAAAUAAACAAAGUUCCCGCUUAUGAUGUAAGUUUUGCUUACUACAGCAUUACCCCUUGUGCGCAAACAAACUGGUGGUGGCAUUCAUCGCCCUAUCCCAUAGCUCCCGUUCCCGUAUCAUAACACCGCUAAAAAUAAACAAAUCGUGACAAAUUGCUGUAAGUGCAGCCGACGCUAUCUGCCCCCCGAGAAGACAAUGGCAUCCACCUAUCGGUUUCCGCGCCCUCUCCACCUGCAAAUCGGAUCGGAGUGUGACUGAGUCACAUCAUUUCCAUGAGCCGCAACCUCUCGACGACCUACAUCCCAGUUGGCACCGCAAGUUACACAUUCAACGCCGGGCACCAAAGUUAGCACUUCCAAAGUCAGUCGUGUGCUUAUAUGUUCGUAUUGUUUUCGAAUUGGAUCUAUGUCAGGGAAUGCAAUUAGAACAGCACCGGAGCAGCGGUGAGCGUUUGAUUAGCGAAUUAUGGCAAGUCGACGGGCGGUUAAUAGGCGAUAAGAUUACUGGGGAGUGUAAAUAACUUGGGUUUCGAAUUUUCUGAUUCGCCAGUGGCCAGUGGUCGUCCAUUUCAAUUAUGAUGUCACUGUCGCCAAGUCAAUGAACGUCUUCCGACACCUUAAACAGACAACAUACAUCAACAAAUACAGCGGCUAGUCAUCCCCGACCGAUGUCUCCAUAUGGCAAACGGCGUCGUGAUUUGUACAAAAUACAGCGGAAGGAAAAAACGAGCGAAAAAAUGUAUUUAUGAAGAUAAGACUGAAAACAAUAAAACUCGAAAAGUAAGUUUUUGUGUCCAGAAGCCGGCCAUAACUGUAGACUCCAGGGGACAGAACCAAUCGGGUUCGUCAAGAAAUUGGAACACCAAAGAGCCGUUCAUGCCAUCUCAUCUCCUCCAGCGCGCCACAUCCCACUCCAGAUGUGCCCACUACUCGGCGAUAAGGCAGCAGCGUCGAGUAUUGGAUUCGAAUAAUAAAAACGUAAACGACAAAAGCGAAACGCACGGCAAACAAACAAUACAAUAGAAACUGGUGUGAGAUAAAGACAGAGCCAGUAUGAAAGAAAACCCAACAACAACAAUAGUAAUAAUAAUAAAUGGAAAUUAAAAAUUGAUUGCUUCUUUGGCCGGCGCUUCUUGGCAUCCGCCUCGGUACAGUGGUUGUACAUUGAUUAAAAAGCGAAGGCUCGGUUUUGCUUGGUAGCUUUAUGACAUUUGUGGCAUUCUGGGAAGGGCCUAUCUAUCGUCUGCUUUCAUUCUGGGCAUGCUUUCUCACAUUGUCUACUUUUCAACGAACUUGAACUGGUGUUUCGCACAAGAAAUCAAACCACAGUGCACUCUGUUUAAGAGGGAUACAGUUCAACAAUACCGCCAACGAUCGACAAUCGUUGUUAUUGUUCGUUAAUCAGAGACAACUUCGCGAUUGGAUAUCGUUGGGCAAAAGCGAAUCACUUGACCAGCUGAGUUUGGCCAAAACGGAAACCACACAUUAUUUACUCUCUCUGGCCUGUUCACCGAUUCACCCACCGAGUAGAGUAUACACGACCGUCGAAUCCCCGCUAGAUUUACGAUCACCACUCACCUCAUGGCUGCGCUUCAGCGAGGUAUACUCCUGCAGGGUGCGCGACACGUUGCGCUUGAGCGUGGAGAUCUCCUGUAUCUCCUUGUCCAAGAUGUUCUUCAGCCGCCGCACCACCUUGGCCUCCGUCUCCAGCUCGCUUUCGAUGAUGCACUCGGCCAUCGUCUUCUCCAGCUCGCCUGCAAUGGGAAAGCACAUACUGUCAUUAGU
ensembl:ncRNA lncRNA:CR45048 long non-coding RNA:CR45048